rnacentral:rRNA from 1 species
UACGUAGGGACCAAGCGUUGUUCGGAUCUACUGGGCGUAAAGGGCGCGUAGGCGGCCUGCUAAGUCGGAUGUGAAAUCCCUCGGCUCAACCGAGGAACUGCAUCUGAUACUGGCGGGCUUGAAUCCGGGAGAGGGAUGUGGAAUUCCAGGUGUAGCGGUGAAAUGCGUAGAUAUCUGGAGGAACACCGGUGGCGAAGGCGGCAUCCUGGACCGGUAUUGACGCUGAGGCGCGAAAGCUAGGGGAGCAAACGGG